CUAUUUUUCAACUCUGAACCUACAACUACUAGGUCACCUUACCAUUACUCUUAAGGCCUUCCCUCUCAAAUGGUAUUACAAGUUGGCCAAAAUUUAGAUCAUAGGCGCUCCCAUUGUUUGGAUGUUAAAAUAAAGCUAUCUAAGAUGGGUAUGCCUCAAAGAUUUCUAAAGUUUCAUGCCCAAGUCCAGUCCACAAAUGAUUUUAUAAGCCCAGCAGAUCUAAGCAACAAGCUCUUGUUUAAUUUUCAGCAAAAAAAAAAAAAGAAAAAGAAAGAAAGAAAAAGUCUUGUUUAGGACUUGCGCUUCAGAAUUCUCCUGAAAAUUGUAACACAGCCAAUCUCAUCCAGUAGUCGUUUGGAGCUUUUCAUAUUCAAAUUACAAUUUAAAUGAAGCAGAUCAUAAUUCCUCACGGCUUCCAAAAAUUAACCCCUCGUUUCCCUGCAUCUCUCUUUGUAAUCGCAACUGCGUGAAAAAAUUAUGGUUAGCAGCAGUGGCCCAGGUCGCCAUCAAGGAGAAAAUGAAGCCCUUUGCUCAAUCCUCUUUUCCAGUCCCCAGUUAAGGAUCCGAAAGCCACUUACAAGUCACAAUUGUUGGGCUUAUCACGUAUUGCUAUUACACGCUACUGCUGCACAUCAUGUGUUUGAUUCAUGAUCUCACAGCAUUUGGCUGGCAAACCGAUUUAUUUUCCUAUUGUUUCAUUGGGAAUCGACUGGGUCGUGGCUAUUAUCAUCAGGUUUCAAGUAUUUUGGGGGAUUAAAUUAGGCACUGGAUGAUUAAAUCAGGCACUGGAUGAAUAGGCAGGACUUAUGGAGUUGCUAUGGACUGCUUGAAAAAGGCCUCAGUUUGUGAAGUGAAAUCAAAAGUUUCUUUUGGCUCUUGGUGAAUGCUAUGGGCUGACACUUGCCACUUGAGAGAUGGUGAGCAUUGUCAACAUGUGGAGCUGUUUUAGGCUGCGUACUAAGUGUUGAAGGUCUCUGGUCAUGUAAAUCUCUUCAUGUGGUGUCUCACUAGCACAGACCAAUUCCCAGAUGCAUUACCAUAGUAAUUGCGUCUUGUUUCUUUAUGUUACAACUAGGAAAUGCUUUGAGGAAAUAGUUUUAUUUUGGAUAUUUAUUUAAAGUGUUUUCAUUGCAGGUUCCAAUUGGUCUUGAGGUUCCCUUUGAUCUCUUGGAGGUUAUGUACCAUCAGGUGAGGAUUAUACGUAGUUUUGUAGUACUGUCCUUGGGGCCCUAUUAAAAAUGGAUAUAUUACAAAAUUUGGAUGCUUGAAUAAUAACUUGUUUUUAAUAAUUAUUCUUUGUUACUUGUCAAGAUCUAAGCCCUCAUAUCUGCUUUUCUUAUGCUUAUUAGAAAUUAUUUUCUUGGUGGUCACUUGUCAAGAAACUUUCUUUCUGUGGGGCCUGAUAAUUAGUAGGUAUUAUUUCUAAACCAAUGGUUGUAGAUUACCACUGGGAAAGAGACAUUAGUGAUCAUGAUUAAGAGGACCUAGGAAACAAAAGCCCAUUCUUUUCCUUCUGUGUGGGUCAAAUCAAUGAUGAUAAACCUUUUUUCCUUUAGCAACUAGUAGCAACUUGCAAUUAUUUCCCAAAAUUUCUCCAGGACACUACUACUUUGGACAUCAUAUGGUUUCCAAUUUAGUUAAUAUCCAGCUAGCUUAUUGCGACAGAUGUGACUUGCAUGAUUAAACUUCUAAUUCCAAUAACAUCUGCUUUCCACCUUUAUUGCACUGGAUUAUUCUCUUUACAAGUAACAUGGCUGUAAAUGGAGAUCCUGUGAUUGUGGUAAAACUCAAAGCCUUUCAGAAGAGCAUCAAUUACCUUCCCUCACAUGUCUUACCUUGUACUUAUGUUUGGUGUCCAUGUUAAUAGUCUAUGUUUUUUUGUUAGGUAACAGAUUAAAUAUAUUGAUAAUCGGAAUACAUAUAAUAGCUAUGAUACAACAAGAGCAAAGGCCAUAGAGGCAACUUGCAAAGGGAUCAAACAGGAGAAUAGGGACACAUUCAAAGUUUUCCUCAAGAGAGCAGCUGAAGCUAAUUCAUUGACCAUAUAAUGAGGUGAUGAACACAUUAUAUGUGACAGCACAAAGUUUGCACAUGCACAAAGAAACCUGGAUUUUCUAAUGAGGUGUGGAUUAGGACUAUACCUUCCCAGACAAGGACUCACCAAUCACUAACAUCGAGUCUCCUUUAAUCGGAAUGUCUUUCAUAUUAUUUGAGAUGGUUCCAAGCCUAAUUUAAUUGCCGUCAAUUCUGCUGUGAUGGAAUUACAAUAGACUAUUCUUAUAUAGUUUUCAUUAGUUUAUAUAAUGUUUUAUAAAUGGAACUAUUCAUUGAGCUGCCUCAUUUACAGAAACAUUAUCAAUUUUCGUUUAGUUUUGCUUUCUGUGUGAAUAACGCAAAUUUGACAUUGGAAAAGUAGGAUUAAUUAGUAGACCAUAGAUUUUGAGGUGUCUAAACAUCACUACUAUGCUAGAAUUUGCACAGGUGAUAUUGGUCAUUAUAACUUGAACUAGACUAAUGAAUGAACCUCGUCAAUGGAUGUGUAGAAUGCUUCAUAUGUGACAUUUUUCCUUGGUAAAGCUCUUAGAAGUGGACACUUUUAACAUUCUGAGGAGACUAAUAAUAUUUCUUCCUGGCUUGUGUCUCCAUAGUUACUGUCUAAUACUUGUUUAAUACAUGCUGAUCUUCUAGUGAAUGUAGUCUUCUGUUUCCUGUAAUAUUGAUUGGGACUUUUGUAGUUCUGUUUACAUGAGAAAUUGAAAUAGGUGGGUGGGUGCAAAUUUGGGCUAUUUAUUGUUUUGUAAUUAUCUUGCACAAUUUUGAGACCUAGUUUACAAUGUGACAGUUCUCUUUCCGCUUA